rnacentral:lncRNA from 1 species
UGACAUGACCCAAAGGAUGCCACGGGUACAUCAAAGACCGCCACUAUGUACCACGUUCUUUGUUUUGAUAAUCGUGGUACCGCAAACCAUGUACCACAUGUAUUUAUAUAUACACUUAGUACUUCAUCUAAUGUACCUCACAAAUCUCAUGAACCUUACACAAAUUUGAAGAUUCAUUGAAAAAAAGGACAAGCAAGAGCAAAGCCACGUGGAGAAAG